rnacentral:rRNA from 1 species
CAUGGCUUUUUGUUAUUUAUAUAAGGUCUAACCUGCCCAAUGAUGUAAUUAAAUGGCCGCGGUAUUUUGACCGUGCAAAGGUAGCAUAAUCAUUAGUUUUUUAAUUGAAAGCUGGAAUGAAAGGUUGAAUGAGAAAAUGACUGUCUUUGUUAUAUUUAAUUAAAACUUUAUCUUUAAGUUAAAAAGCUUAAAUAUUAUUUAAAGACGAGAAGACCCUUUAGAGUUUUAUAAAAAUUUAGUUUUUGAGGUUUAAGAAUUUAAUUAUGAUAAAAUUAAUUUUUAUUUAGUUGGGGCGAUUAAAAAAUUUAAAAAACUUUUUUUUUUAUUUAACAUUAAUUUAUGAAUAUUUGAUCCAUAAAUUAUGAUUAUAAGAUUAAAUUACCUAAGGGAUAACAGCGUUAUUUUUUUUGAGAGUUCUUAUCGAAAAAAGAGAUUGCGACCUCGAUGUUGGAUUAAAAUUAAAUUAUGGUGUAGAAGCUAUAAC